rnacentral:rRNA from 1 species
GGUGCCCGUACCGCAAACCGACACAGGUAGGUAGGAAGAAGAUUCUAAGGCCAACGGGAGAAGGGUUGUUAAGGAACUCGGCAAAUUGACCCCGUAACUUCGGGAGAAGGGGUGCUCCAGAGAUGGAGCCGCAGAGAAUCGGCCCAAGCAACUGUUUACCAAAAACACAGGUUUGUGCUAAAUCGAAAGAUGACGUAUACGAGCUGACGCCUGCCCGGUGCUGGAAGGUUAAGAGGAGAUGUGCAAGCAUUGAAUCGAAGCCCCAGUGAACGGCGGCCGUAACUAUAACGGUCCUAAGGUAGCGAAAUUCCUUGUCAGGUAAGUUCUGACCCGCAUGAAAGGCGUAAUGAUUUGGGCACUGUCUCGACAGCCCGCCCGGCGAAAUUGUAGUACCGGUGAAGAUGCCGGUUACCCGCGACAAGACGGAAAGACCCCAUGGAGCUUUACUGUAGCCUAAUAUUGGGUUUCGAUGUUGCAUGCACAGGAUAGAUGGGACACUGGGAAACAAGUGCUUUGGCAUUUGUGGAGUGGCCGUUGGGAUACCAUCCUUGCGAUAUUGGAAUUCUAACCUGCGCCUUUGAAUCAAGGCGGGGGACAUUGUUAGGUGGGCAGUUUGACUGGGGCGGUCGCCUCCUAAAGAGUAACGGAGGCGUUCAAAGGUUCGCUCAGCUUGAACGGAAAUCAAGCAAAAGAGUGCAAACGCAGAAGCGAGCCUAACUGCGAGACUGACGGGUCGAGCAGUAACGAAAGUUGGAGUUAGUGAUCCGGUGGUAUGUGAGUGGAAAUGCCAUCGCUCAACGGAUAAAAGUUACCCUGGGGAUAACAGGCUGAUCUCCCCCAAGAGUCCACAUCGACGGGGAGGUUUGGCACCUCGAUGUCGGCUCAUCGCAUCCUGGGGCUGUAUUCGGUCCCAAGGGUUUGGCUGUUCGCCAAUUAAAGCGGUACGCGAGCUGGGUUCAGAACGUCGUGAGACAGUUCGGUCCCUAUCUGUCGUGGGCG